UACGUAGGGUGCAAGCGUUGUCCGGAAUUAUUGGGCGUAAAGGGCUCGUAGGCGGUCUGUCACGUCGGGAGUGAAAACUCGGGGCUUAACCCCGAGCCUGCUUCCGAUACGGGCAGACUAGAGGUAUGCAGGGGAGAAUGGAAUUCCUGGUGUAGCGGUGAAAUGCGCAGAUAUCAGGAGGAACACCGGUGGCGAAGGCGGUUCUCUGGGCCUGACCUGACGCUGAGGAGCGAAAGCGUGGGGAGCGAACAGG
rnacentral:rRNA from 1 species